GAUGAACGCUGGCGGCGUGCUUAACACAUGCAAGUCGAACGGGAUCGGCUGGAGCUUGCUCCGGCCGUGAGAGUGGCGAACGGGUGAGUAAUGCGUGACCGACCUGCCCCAUACACCGGAAUAGCUCCUGGAAACGGGUGGUAAUGCCGGAUGCUCCAGUUGACCGCAUGGUCCUCUGGGAAAGCUUUUGCGGUAUGGGAUGGGGUCGCGUCCUAUCAGCUUGAUGGCGGGGUAACGGCCCACCAUGGCUUCGACGGGUAGCCGGCCUGAGAGGGCGACCGGCCACAUUGGGACUGAGAUACGGCCCAGACUCCUACGGGAGGCAGCAGUGGGGAAUAUUGCACAAUGGGCGCAAGCCUGAUGCAGCGACGCCGCGUGCGGGAUGACGGCCUUCGGGUUGUAAACCGCUUUUGACUGGGAGCAAGCCCUUCGGGGUGAGUGUACCUUUCGAAUAAGC
rnacentral:rRNA from 1 species